rnacentral:rRNA from 1 species
GGUCAAGUUACUAAGGGUGCAUGGUGGAUGCCUAGGCGUCGAGAGACGAUGAAGGACGUGGUAGGCUGCGAUAUGCCUCGGGUAGCUGUCAAACAAGCUGUGAUCCGGGGAUCUCCGAAUCGGGAAACCGGGCGUCACUGGGCAACCAGAUGGCGUCAUCGGCGGGUGAAUGCAUAGUCCGUCGAGGUCAACCCAGGGAACUGAAACAUCUCAGUACCUGGAGGAAAGGAAAUCAACCGAGACUCCGUAAGUAGCGGCGAGCGAAAGCGGACCUAGCCCAAACCAUGGUGCUUGCACCGUGGGGUUGCGGGCCCUCGAGGAGUUACAAAGGCAUCGUUAGCAGAACGGUCUGGAAAGGCCGAGCAUAGAAGGUGACACUCCUGUAUGCGAAAACGAAAGCCCUCCGUUGAGAGGAGACCCAGAGUAGCGUAGAGCCCGUGGAACUCUGCGUGAAGCCGGGGGGACCACCCUCCAAGGCUAAGUACUACUCGACGACCGAUAGUGUACAAGUAGGGUGACUGAAUGGUGAAAAGAACCCCUUUAAGGGGAGUUAAAAGAACCUGAAACCAUGUACCUACAAGCUGUGGGAGCACGAUUGAAUUCGCUUCGGCGGAUGCGCGUGUGACCGCGUGCCUUUUGCAUAAUGAUCCGGCGAGUUACGGUCUGUGGCAAGGUUAAUCCGUUACGCGGAGGAGCCGAAGCGAAAGCGAGUCUGAAUAGGGCGUCUGAGUCGCAGGUCGUAGACCCGAAACCAGGUGAUCUACCCAUGGCCAGGUUGAAGUGACCGUAAAAGGUCGCGGAGGACCGAACCCGUUAACGUUGAAAAGUUAUGGGAUGAGCUGUGGGGAGGAGUAAAAGUCUAAUCAAACCUGGAGAUAUCUGGUUCUCCCCGAAAUAGCUUUAGGGCUA